UACGGAGGGGGCGAGCGUUAUUCGGAAUUAUUGGGCGUAAAGGGCGCGUAGGCGGCCCGUUAAGUCAAAGGUGAAAUCCCUCGGCUCAACUGAGGAACUGCCUUUGAAACUGAUGGGCUUGAGGCCGGGAGGGGGUAGCGGAAUUCCCAGUGUAGCGGUGAAAUGCGUAGAUAUUGGGAGGAACACCAGUGGCGAAGGCGGCUACCUGGACCGGUUCUGACGCUGAUGCGCGAAAGCGUGGGUAG
rnacentral:rRNA from 1 species